rnacentral:ncRNA from 1 species
AUGAUUGUGCUCAAAUCUUUCUCCUUAGGAUCUUUACCCUUUCCUAUAAAUUAGUUUUGGGCACAAAAAA